AUUGAACGCUGGCGGCAGGCCUAACACAUGCAAGUCGAGCGGAUGAAGGGAGCUUGCUCCUGGAUUCAGCGGCGGACGGGUGAGUAAUGCCUAGGAAUCUGCCUGGUAGUGGGGGACAACGUUCCGAAAGGAACGCUAAUACCGCAUACGUCCUACGGGAGAAAGCAGGGGAACUUCGGGCCUUGCGCUAUCAGAUGAGCCUAGGUCGGAUUAGCUAGUUGGUGAGGUAAUGGCUCACCAAGGCGACGAUCCGUAACUGGUCUGAGAGGAUGAUCAGUCACACUGGAACUGAGACACGGUCCAGACUCCUACGGGAGGCAGCAGUGGGGAAUAUUGGACAAUGGGCGAAAGCCUGAUCCAGCCAUGCCGCGUGUGUGAAGAAGGUCUUCGGAUUGUAAAGCACUUUAAGUUGGGAGGAAGGGCAGUAAGUUAAUACCUUGCUGUUUUGACGUUACCGACAGAAUAAGCACCGGCUAACUCUGUGCCAGCCGCCGCAGUAAUAC
rnacentral:rRNA from 1 species